AAACACAUAAGGUGAAAUCCAAAAAAAAAAUGACUUCCAAAACUUAUCAAUCUUCUUUUCUUUUGGUUGUUUUAUGCUUGAAUAUAAUUUUGAUUUCUGAAAUAGUUGCAAGUUUGAAGACUCCAACAUCAGAAAAAAGUCCAAUCUGUCCUCAUGGGACUGACGAAUUAGGAGGAGUUUGUUGCAUAGACCAUGAUUGUACAAAUUGUUCUACAAAGUGCAUCAAUGCUGGAUUUCAAAAAGGUGGAGAAUGUAAUGCUCAAACUGAAUGUUGUUGUUUUACAUAAUAAGUUAUGAUGUAUUAUCCCUUUGAUGGUUGAAAAUAAAAGAUGCACUUUUAGAACUUACAUUAUUGUGUAAGAACUUUGUGUUAUUGGAGAAGCCAUAAGCUUGAUUAUCAAUAAAAACAGUUUAAGUUA